UACAGCAGCUCCUUUUGGCUGAAAUAAAUUACAACAAAGAAAAAAGGGCAUAUGACAGAAUCCACGCAGAAACCAAACUUCCCUUUUUUGGGCUUAGGGAGGGCUGGGGCAGGGACAACAAAUAAGGAGUUUGUCUACCACCCAUAGGGCACACAAAAAAGUGACUUAGGUUACCGCAUUUCCUCUCUGUGUGUGGCCUCUACUAUUGUGAUGAGUGGAUAAUGUGGCUUGAUGUGCCUGAAUAGACAUAAAACAGCCCACAAGGUGAAUAUCAACACUCCUAAAGAGGCAUAAACGAGAACAGAAACUACAAGAUAUGGAGAAAAUUACCCCAUCUCUUCCCCGAGCAAAGUGACUUCUAUUGUGAUGAGAUGAUGUAGAUCCAUGUAACUAGAGAGAGAACAAGGAUGGGUGUCACGCACACAAAAAAAAAAAAAAAAAAAUCAGAUCUCCAAGUUGUAUCAGAUAGUAAAAUCAUGAAAUACAGCACCAGACAACAUGCGAAAAACAGGAACUACGUAACGUUGCAAACAGAAAAGGAAGAUGGAGGAAAUAAAUGCAACCAAUAACAAAACAGUAAUUUUUUUUUAUCACAGAAGUUGUUUAGUAAGUAGGAAACUAAAAGUGGGCUUAUGAUGAUAUCCAUGUGCAUUUAUUUAAAGGGUUCCCGCAAAAGCUU
rnacentral:lncRNA from 1 species